rnacentral:rRNA from 1 species
UGGGGAAUAUUGCACAAUGGGCGGAAGCCUGAUGCAGCGACGCCGCGUGGGGGAUGAAGGCCUUCGGGUUGUAAACUCCUUUCGACAGGGACGAAGCUUUUGUGACGGUACCUGUAUAAGAAGCACCGGCUAACUACGUGCCAGCAGCCGCGGUAAUACGGAGGGUGCGAGCGUUGUUCGGAAUUACUGGGCGUAAAGAGCUCGUAGGUGGUGUGUCGCGUCGUCUGUGAAAUUCCGGGGCUUAACUCCGGGCGUGCAGGCGUUACGGGCUGACUUGAGUGCUGUAGGGGAGACUGGAAUUCCUGGUGUAGCGGUGAAAUGCGCAGAUAUCUGGAGGAACACCGAUGGCGAAGGCAGGUCUCUGGGCAGUAACUGACGCUGAGGAGCGAAAGCAUGGGUAGCGAACAGG